AGGCACAUCCCCUUGAAUAUGUCGGGUUAGAGCAUCCAUCACCAAGGCAAACAAGAGAGGGCUAAGCGCCGAUCCUUGAUGAAGCCCCAUAACCAUUGGAAAAUGGUCUGAGUCACACAUGACUCCUGAUGCAAGCCUCCACUUUGACCACCCCGCUCCUAUACGGUGGGUGAGUCCCCCUGAAUCACCGACCCUAGAUAUCUGACACUGUCCCUCUUGGCGAUGACCUGAGAUCCAAUCAUCACGUCCCUGUCUACCUCGCUCGGCUCGGUGCUAAACUUGCACUCCAGGUAUUCUGUCUUAGAUCUGCUUAAUUAGAAACCCUUAGACUCGAGGGCCUGUCUCCAUACCUCUAACCUCUCAUUAACACCGACCCUCGUCUCGUCUAUCAAGACUAUGUCAUCAGCAAAUAGCAUACACCAAGGCACAUUCCCUUNNNN
rnacentral:lncRNA from 1 species